CCCUCCAAGGAGCGUUGCGACGGGGGCCGAUCGGCCGCUGCCAGGCUUGGACGCUUGCAACCACGCUCACCCCCG
rnacentral:ncRNA from 2 species